AUUGAACGCUGGCGGCAUGCUUUACACAUGCAAGUCGAACGGUAACAGGGAGCUUGCUCCGCUGACGAGUGGCGAACGGGUGAGUAAUAUAUCGGAACGUACCCAAGAGUGGGGGAUAACGUAGCGAAAGUUACGCUAAUACCGCAUACGAUCUAAGGAUGAAAGCAGGGGAUCUUCGGACCUUGUGCUCCUGGAGCGGCCGGUAUCUGAUUAGCUAGUUGGUGAGGUAAAGGCACACCAAGGCGACGAUCAGUAGCGGGUCUGAGAGGACGACCAGCCACACGGGAACGGAGGCAAGGUCCAGACUCCUACGGGAGGCAGCAGUGGGGAAUUUUGGACAAUGGGCGCAAGCCUGAUCCAGCAAUGCCGCGUGAGUGAAGAAGGCCUUCGGGUUGUAAAGCUCUUUUGUCAGGGAAGAAACGGGAGUGGCUAAUAUCCAUUCCUAAUGACGGUACCUGAAGAAUAAGCACCGGCUAACUACGUGCCAGCCGCCGCGGUAACAC
rnacentral:rRNA from 1 species